CGGGUGUUGCAUACAUCGGAAUCCACCUUUUCGCGGGCGAUAGCGGCCGUAAUCUUCGUGGUCCCUUCCAUUGGGCCUUUUGUCGUAAUGUGGUGAAAUACCGGCUUUAAGUGGUAACAUGGUCCGAUGUCGGAAUAGCGCGGUUGGAUCACCUCCUCCCACCAAGGCGACGAUCCGUAGCUGGUCUGAAAGGAUGAUCAGCCACACUGGAACUGAGACACGGUCCAGACUCCUACGGGAGGCAGCAGUGGGGAAUAUUGGACAAUGGGCGCAAGCCUGAUCCAGCCAUACCGCGUGGGUGAAGAAGGCCUUCGGGUUGUAAAGCCCUUUUGUUGGGAAAGAAAAGCAAUCGAUUAAUACUCGGUUGUUCUGACGGUACCCAAAGAAUAAGCACCGGCUAACUUCGUGCCAGCAGCCGCGGUAAUACGAAGGGUGCAAGCGUUACUCGGAAUUACUGGGCGUUAAGCGUGCGUAGGUGGUUGUUUAAGUCUGUUGUGAAAGCCCUGGGCUCAACCUGGGAAUUGCAGUGGAUACUGGGCAACUAGAGUGUGGUAGAGGGUAGUGGAAUUCCCGGUGU
rnacentral:rRNA from 1 species